rnacentral:tRNA from 1 species
UGGGCCCGUAGCUUAGUCUGGAUAGGGCACCGGCCUUCUAAGCCGGAGAUCGAGGGUUCGAAUCCCCCCGGGUCCGUCC